GACGAACGCUGGCGGCGUGCCUAAUACAUGCAAGUCGAACGCACAGGUUAUACCGUAGCUUGCUGCACCAGAGACGGUGAGUUGCGAACGGGUGAGGAACGCUUAGGUAACCUUCCUGGUAGCUGGGGGUAACUAGUGGAAACGAUAGCUAAUACCGCAUAAUAUUAAGUAGUGCAUGAUAAUUAAUGGAAGGUUGCAAUUGCACCACUACCAGAUGGACCGUCGUUGUAUUAGCGGGUAGGUGAGGUAACGGCCCACCUAGGCGACGAUAGAUAGCCGAAGUGAGAGGGUGAUCGGCGACACUAGGACGGAGCCAGCGACCAGAGUCCUACGGGAGGCAGCAGUAGGGAACGUUCGGCAACGGACGAAAGUAUGACAGAGCAACGCCGAGCGAGUGAAGAAGGUUUUCGGAGCGUAAAGCUCUGUUGUAAGAGAAGAACGGGUGUGAGCGUGGAAAGUUCACGCUGGGCGGGAAUGGUAAAAGAAAGAGCGGGUUAACUACGG
rnacentral:rRNA from 1 species